GCCCGCUCAGAAACUACAAAGGAAUUGACGGGGCCCGGCACAAGCGGUGGAGUAUGUGGUUAAUUCGAUGCAACGCGAAGAACCUUACCUGGUCUUGACAUCCCGGAGACCCUUAGGAAACUAGGGGGUGCUUCCAUCUGGAAGAAUCUGGAGACAGGUGCUGCAUGGCUGUCGUCAGCUCGUGUCGUGAGAUGUUGGGUUAAGUCCCGCAACGAGCGCAACCCUUGCCUUUAGUUGCCAGCAGUUCGGCUGGGCACUCUAAAGGGACUGCCGGUGUUAAACCGGAGGAAGGUGGGGAUGACGUCAAGUCCUCAUGGCCUUUAUGACCAGGGCUACACACGUACUACAAUGGCCGAUACAAAGGGCAGCGACACUGCGAGGUGAAGCCAAUCCCGUAAAAUCGGUCUCAGUCCGGAUUGGAGUCUGCAACUCGACUCCAUGAAGUUGGAAUCGCUAGUAAUCGUGGAUCAGCAUGCCACGGUGAAUACGUUCCCGGGCCUU
rnacentral:rRNA from 1 species